rnacentral:rRNA from 1 species
CUAGCAAUAGAUGAGUGGCGAACGGGUGAGUAAGACAUUAGCAACCUAGCCUUUUGAGGGGGAUAACUGCUGGAAACGGCAGCUAAGACCGCAUAGGCAUAUUGAUCGCAUGAGAGAUAUGUUAAAUAUCCUACGGGAUAGCGAGGGGAUGGGCUUAUGACGCAUUAGCUAGUUGGAGGGGUAACGGCCCACCAAGGCGACGAUGCGUAGCCGGCCUGAGAGGGUGGACGGCCACACUGGGACUGAGACACGGCCCAGACUCCUACGGGAGGCAGCAGUAGGGAAUUUUCGGCAAUGGACGAAAGUCUGACCGAGCAACGCCGCGUGAGGGAGGAAGUACUUCGGUAUGUAAACCUCUGUUAUAAAGGAAGAACGGUAUAAUCAGGGAAUGGGUUAUAAGUGACGGUACUUUAUGAGGAAGCCACGGCUAACUACGUGCCAGCAGCCGCGGUAAUACGUAGGUGGCGAGCGUUAUCCGGAAUCAUUGGGCGUAAAGAGGGAGCAGGCGGCAGCAAGGGUCUGCGGUGAAAGACCGAAGCUAAACUUCGGUAAGCCGUGGAAACCGGGCAGCUAGAGAGCAUCAGAGGAUCGCGGUAUUCCAUGUGUAGCGGUGAAAUGCGUAGAUAUAUGGAGGAACACCAGUGGCGAAGGCGGCGAUCUGGGGUGCAACUGACGCUCAGUCCCGAAAGCGUGGGGAGCAAAUAGGAUUAGAUACCCUAGUAGUCCACGCCGUAAACGAUGAGUACUAAGUGUUGGGGGUCAGACCUCAGUGCUGCAGUUAACGCAAUAAGUAC